AAGACCUUACAUUGACUGUAGCCAGGCAGAUGGGAGUGAUUCAGAUGAGAAAGAUUCUUUAUUCCAUGGUAUGAAGGUCACAUUUGGAUUUGCUGCUGCUUUUGGAAGCCAGAUGGCAACUAGAAGGAUAAGCCAUUUUUCUCAUGGAUCAGCUGGGUCAUGAGUUACUGAUCCACCCACAGAAUGACAGGAGGUUAAAGAUAAAAAGUUUACUAGAGUAUGUGAGGAACCAGAGAUCAAAUUGCCAACAUCCGCAGGAUCAUGGAAAAAGCAAGAGAGUUCCAGAAAACAUCUAUUUCUGCUUUAUUGACUAUGCCAAAACCUUUGACUGUGUGGAUCACAAUAAACUGUGGAAAAUUCUGAAAGAGAUGGGAAUACCAGACCACCUGACCUUGAGAAAUGUAUAUGCAGGUCAGGAAGCAACAAUUAGAACUGGACAUGGAACAACAGACUGGUUCCAAAUAGGAAAAGGAGUACGUCAAGGCUGUAUAUUGUCACCCUGCUUAUUUAACUUAGAUGCAGAGUACAUCAUGAGAAACACUGGGCUGGAAGAAGCAUAAGCUGGAAUCAAGAUUGCCGGGAGAAAUAUCAAUAACCUCAGAUAUGCAGAUGACCCCACCCUUAUGGCAGAAAGUGAAGAGGAACUAAAAAGCCUCUUGAUGAAAGUGAAAGAGGAGAGUGAAAAAGUUGGCUUAAAGCUCAACAUUCAGAAAACGAAGAUCAUAGUAUCUGGUCCCAUUACUUCAUGGCAAAUAGUUGGGGGAAACAGUGGAAACAGUGUCAGACUUUAUUUUUUUGGGCUGCAAAAUCACCGCAGAUGGUGAUUGCAGCCAUGUAAUUAAAAG
ensembl:lncRNA